rnacentral:lncRNA from 1 species
CCGACCCGGGAAAGGUUCCCGCCACUCUCGGCCGUUUCCUCGUAAACGUUUGCGCGCUGGAGGAGGCCGGUGCUGCGCGUCACGGGGAUGCUGGCGGCCUGCGGUCCCCGCGGACACCCCCGGACUCAAGGACCCAGGAACAGUAACAUGGCAAGUCCAAAUGGAUCUGGGGGAGCCUCUCAGCCCUUCUGCUGUGAUUACCUUGACCUCAUUCAGGACUCAACAGAAGCAGAGACGCGGAGUGCACCCCAAAGUUAAGAUUGCAAGCAAAAACCCAUGAUAGGGCGACAAGGAGCCGUGACUGAAGGCGGUCUCUGGAGCCUAUGGAGCACCUGCACAAAUGACCAGCAACAGAACCUUACAGGCAUGUUUAUUGAGUCAGUCGCCAAUCAGCGUGCGGGGCAUAAAGGCGACUCCACAAAAGUCGUAUCUUCUCUGAAGAAACUCAUGUUCCAAAAUGUGACGUUAGGAAGAGAAAACAAGCAAUGUAACACAAAAUGGCAAGCGUUGGAAUAAGAGCUAACACACAAGCGCCACAGGCCAGGAAAAGGAUAAGGAGGAAGACUUAGACCAGCCAUGCGAACAUGCUUUGGGCUUCAAAGAAAUCAGGACAGAAGAAAUGAAAACCACACAGUAGUCCUGAUAUGACAGUUAACAUAUUGUACCUGUUCCAAAUAUUUCUGUUUCUCUUAUGGAACUUAUUUUCUAAAGAGAUGAAGGUGAUAUGUGUAAGGAUCAGUCAUAUUUACACAUAACAAGUUUUUUUCAACAGUGAGAACACCCAACUUGCCUAUGGAUGUAUAAGAUCAAGGCAAAACAAUUUAAUUAACCAUUAAAAAAAAAAAAAGGCCAGAUGUGCCACAAUGUGAAUACCUAUACAGCCAAAAUAGCCAUCAUAUUUAUUUAAUAUGCAUUUUCAUAUGCAAAUAAUCCUUUGUCCCUCCUUACUCCAUGCAGACCUAGACUGGCAUGCUAAAAUCCCCUCCAUCUCUGAUCACCCUGGAAAAGUCUAAGCUUUUAACACAAUGGUUCUCAAUUGUAAUUUAUCCCCCCAAGAGAUAUUUAACAAUGUCUAGAAACACUAGUUGUCAUGACUAGAGUCCUCCCAGCAUCUAGUGGGUGGAGACCAAAGAUGCUGUUAAACUGCCUACAAUGCACAGGACAGCCCCCUCCCCCCUCAAUACAGAAUAUCCUUUUCCAAAAUGUCAGUAGUGCCACAGUGGGAAACCCUGAUUUAACACAUAACCCUACCACUUUCCCAUCCCAAGAAAGCAUCUUCAUAAUACUCUCCUGUAGUGUCCUCUGACUUCAGAGCUAACAAGGCAAGAGCCAGCAUAGAAUCCACAACAGCUUGGCCAAAAAAACUAGCAAUCAGGUCUUCUAACCAAAAUGAGAAGUCAGUGUACACUACACAAGGCAUGAGUGAUGGCUUAAACCCCUUGCAAAGAUAAACCGAAAUAAAAAUCAAUGUUACCCUCA